AAAAAGCACCAGAAGAUGCACCAAUGCUAGUACCAAGGACAUCUUCCAACUCCCUACGCUUGACUCUACUUGCUUCAGAAGAUAAAUUGGCUUCAUAAAGUAUGUCCUGGCUUAGAGAUGGGCUCUGCUGCGGGCUAAAAUAUGAUUUUGCAGCUUCACCGUCAGUGUUGGAAUCUGUUUGUCCGUCACUAAGGCGGGAUAUCGCAGAAAGGAACAUAUCCUUGUACAAUGGCUCACUGAAGCAGCUCUUUCCUGUCACCUCAAAUUCUUGGCA
rnacentral:lncRNA from 1 species